GCACGUACAGAUGGACACGAAUAGGCUUCGGCUUAGCGUCUUAGCAGGCGAUUACUCCACUGCUCUCGAAGCGAGUAGUGGUAUUUCGCGAAUUGUAAUUUCAGCACGAGCGGGGUUAAAUCCUUUGCAGACGACUUAGAUGUGCGAAAGGGUCCUGUAAGCAGUAGAGUAGCCUUGUUGUUACGAUCUGCUGAGGGUAAGCCCUCCUUCGCCUCGAUUUCCUCAUGAACUCCAGCGGCCGACGGCCGCGAGCACACGAGGGUUAGGGGACUGCCGCGGGCAGGGACUUGAGGGGCCGCGCCGACGAUUCGGUGCGGCCAAGUCUCGUCUCGACGACGCAAGUACCCUGGAAAGGAUAUUGCGGACGGCCGUGACGGCCAAGUGCGUGUCCGCGACGCCAGGUACCCUGGAAGGGACGCGGUCGAGGCCCGAGACGUGCAACGCAGAACGAAGUGCCCGAGUGCGCCGGGUACCCUGCAAUAGGCUUUAGAGGGCGAGGCGCCAGGUACCCCGGAAAGGGCCUGGGGUGGCCAAGUACCCUGGAGAGCGAUUCCCUAGUACCCUGGAAAGGAGAUGGAUGCUGAGCCCCCUGGAAUGGCCAAGUACCCUGGAGCAGAAUUCCCGAGUACCCCGGAAAGCGAUUCCCAAGUACCCUGGAGCAGAAUUCCCGAGUACCCCGGAAAGCGAUUCCCAGGUACCCUGGAAAGCAAUUCCUACGCACCCUGGAGCAGAAUUCCCGAGUACCCCGGAAAGCGAUUCCCAAGUACCCUGGAAAGCAGUUCCCAAGUACCCUGGAGCAGAAUUCCCAGGUACCCUGGAAAGCAAUUCCUACGCACCCUGGAGCAGAAUUCCCGAGUACCCCGGAAAGCGAUUCCCAAGUACCCUGGAAAGCAAUUCCUACGCACCCUAGGGCGGAAUUCCCAGGUACCCUGGAAAGCAAUUCCUACGCACCCUAGGGCGGAAUUCCCAAGUACCCUAGGGUAGAAGCCUUAAGUACCCUAUAAAGCAGUCUUUAGGUACCUUAGAAAGGAGAUCCUAAGUGUAAAUAUUUUUUCGGUAAAUAAAAUAGACAUAGAAGUAGCUGUAGUAGAGAAGUAGUAGGAUUAGAAGCGUUACUUAUACUAAGGCCUAUAUUAUAAAACUGUUAAAUAGGGUACUAGAAAAUAAAAGAGUUAUUAAGGGACUAUACAAAGGAGGUUAGAUUAAGAGGGGAGCUUUUUCUUAAAAGGUAAGUAGUAUUCUACUUUUAUACAGUCACCUCUCUUAAUAAGGGUAGAAGAUAAGAUAGAAAUAGGCUAUCUAUACAGGUAAGGAUAUAUAGUAACGCCUACAUAGUAUAAAGAAUAGAGUGUCUAAGUAUAGUAGUAAAAGUAAAUAGUACUAAGACUAGAAUAAUAUAUACUUAUAUAUUAGAUUCUAAGACGUAUAUACAAGAGAGAAGCUUUAAUGCUUAUAGUAGACUAUAGGUUUAUAAAGAAUAGAGAUAAGUAAAGACGGAGAUAAAGGCAGACCUCUAAAGGAAAGCUACUUUAUGGAAAGGAAGUCUAGGUACCCUAGGAAGGCCAAGUACCCUGGAAAGAACGUCCUAGGUACCCUGGAAAGGCCAAGUACCCUGGAAAAAGUCCCAGGUACCCUGGAAAGGCCAAGUACCCUGGAAAAAGUCCCAGGUACCCUGGAAAGGCCAAGUACCCUGGAAAAAGUCCCAGGUACCCUGGAAAGGCCAAGUACCCUGGAAAAAGUCCCAGGUACCCUGGAAAGGCCAAGUACCCUGGAAAAAGUCCCAGGUACCCUGGAAAGGCCAAGUACCCUGGAAAAAGUCCCAGGUACCCUGGAAAGGCCAAGUACCCUGGAAAAAGUCCCAGGUACCCUGGAAAGGGACUUUCUACCUUGGCGCCUAGGCUAUAAGUAGGUAGUAUAGGGCUGUAGAGCGCCUCUAGGGGAGCCUAGCGCACCAGGCCCUAUAGCUAUAGCGCCUACAGCGGGCGAGAAAACCGCUGCGGAAGUUCAAAAAACCGGCGGUUGGACUGCGGGGUGGGCGCCCGCGGGCUGCCCGGCACGGCGGGCUUAUAGAGCUCGCUGCGGCGGUUACAGCGCCGUAAGGCCCUAUACGGUAGGCACUAUAGCGCUGGAGAUACGGCGGCCCAAAGCCGCAGGUACCCUGGAAGGCAAUUGUCAAGUACCCUGGAAGGGAAAAAGAGGUGGGCCGCAGGGCGCCGCCGAGCAGCUGGUGGCGGCGACGACGUGGGCGGUCGACGGGCAUACCUGGGUUUUGCGUGCGGGAUCGGAUAAGGUUUUGGUGGCCGUGAGUCGAUUUUUUUGUUUUCCCAUACAAAUCUUUUUUUCGGGAAAUGUUUUUUCGGGACAGAAGCAGGUGGAGCGGGGCCGGGGCGCAAAAAGUGUCGCAGGGCCUAUGAGAAGAGAGCGAGUGCAGCCAACCGGCGGCACAGCGCAACUGCUCCACCCGCUGAGGGUGCGCGCUGUAGAAAUACAGCGCAACCGUCCCAUAUCUUAAUGACUGCUGCGUGGCGUCUCUCUGAACAGCCUCGCAGGUAUCUUCCUCGGUGGCGGGGAGUUCGUAGCAGCAGUCGACGCCCACUGUGGUGCACCGCUAAGGCGGCGCAUCAUCCUGGGAGUGCCCGGAGGGUUUGGGGGUCACGAGCCCCUAGACCCGAAGGAUGGGUUCUGUGGAUGAAUGGCCGUUGGCUAUACUUACACUGAGCAUCGGGAGAGAAACGCCCGCGGUCGGACGCUGAAUAGCUGAAGCCGCGGGGCCAGUUGCUCCUCUUGGGACCCCCCAACCACGCAACCCCCCCGGGGGCACAGCGCGGUGAACGGGGUCCUGGGGAAUUCAGAGGGGGAAAGCGGAAGCUUCCUCUGCGCCUACGGCCUAGCCGGACGGCCGCAGGGGGGGCGCGAGCGCUGUUUCGGCAGCGUGAGCGAUUCCGGUGACUAAAACGCUUCGGCCGCUGCUUGCAGCGCCGAUGGCCGGCUCACCCCGGCGCA
rnacentral:misc_RNA from 1 species